UACGCUCUGUCUCGCAAGGUUCGGCGCUGCCUAUCAUUCGUAAUGAUGGGGUCGCAGGUUCGAGUCCUGCAAGCGGCACCA
rnacentral:tRNA from 1 species